UCCGGGUUCGGCGUCGAUGGCCUUGGACCCCCCCCCCCCCCACUGUGUUCUCCGAAGAGGAGGCCAUUGUUGCGCGGCGGCGGCGACAAUCCCCUUCUAGGCGUGGGAAGUGACGCGUGGAGGACUAGUUUGGAAGUCACAAAACCAGAGGAGAUUGGAUGUGCUAGAUUCUCCAUCUUAUUCAAGUUUGAGGAACGAGGAAGUGGGGAGGAUUUUGGUGGAACGGAGCGCGAACUCUCGGGGGUGAUUGGUGGACAGGGAUCACAAGGAUCCAUGGGGAGGAAUCGUGAUCCCUCCACCAAAUCAGCUCGGGGGAGGUAUGCAUGGGUUGCCCAAUGCUCGCCAACGGGUUCCAGGUUGGGCUCGUAUGGGCUUAUUGCGGCGGUGAGUACGGGUCGUCCCAGACCGCUUUCAGUCUGGGAGAACAGUGGGCGGCCUCUGGAGGGUCAGGUGAC
rnacentral:misc_RNA from 1 species